AGUGAACGCUGGCGGUAGGCCUAACACAUGCAAGUCGAACGGCAGCACAGUAAGAGCUUGCUCUUACGGGAGGCGAGUGGCGGACGGGUGAGGAAUAAAUCGGAAUCUACUUGUUCGUGGGGGAUAACGUAGGGAAAAUUACGCUAAUACCGCAUACGACCUACGGGUGAAAGAAGGGGAUCUUCGGACCUUGCGCGAAUGCAUGAGCCGAUGUCGGAUUAGCUAGUUGGCGGGGUAAAGGCCCACCAAGGCGACGAUCCGUAGAUGGUCUGAGAGGAUGAUCAGCCACACUGGAACUGAGACACGGUCCAGACUCCUACGGGAGGCAGCAGUGGGGAAUAUUGGACAAUGGGCGCAAGCCUGAUCCAGCCAUACCGCGUGGGUGAAGAAGGCCUUCGGGUUGUAAAGCCCUUUUGUUGGGAAAGAAAAGCAGCAGGUUAAUACCCCGCUGUUCUGACGGUACCCAAAGAAUAAGCACCGGCUAACUUCGUG
rnacentral:rRNA from 1 species